rnacentral:rRNA from 3 species
ACUUAAAUUGAAGAGUUUGAUCAUGGCUCAGAUUGAACGCUGGCGGCAGGCCUAACACAUGCAAGUCGAGCGGUAGCACAGAGAGCUUGCUCUCGGGUGACGAGCGGCGGACGGGUGAGUAAUGUCUGGGAAACUGCCUGAUGGAGGGGGAUAACUACUGGAAACGGUAGCUAAUACCGCAUA